CAUACACGCCCUCACUGAGAGUGCGCAGGCGCAGCUACCGCUCUGCCCUCUGGGAAUUAGAGUCUGGCAGCCUCUGUCCGGGUCGUUGAGUGCUAGGAUCUUGGAUCCAGAAAGAACUACAAAUACCGUGAGGCCAAGCGGUUCAGCUCCCGCGGAGAGGAGGAAGAGGAAGGCAGUAGGAAGGAGGGCAGAAAGGAAGAGUGUCACUCAUGUUGGCUGCCGGGAGUUGUAGUUUUAACUGGAUCGCCUUUGUCGACUUUCCACUUCUGGGGCGCAAGCAAAAGAGAAUGAGAGACCACAUUUCCUAGGAUACCCUGCGGUGCGUUCAGCCUCACUUCCCCCUUCCGCGGAGAGGUGGAUACAGGGAAGCUUGGUAAAAACAGAAUUAAAGGGAAUGGGUGUCGGAAGCGGAGGGUCUGAAGUUCUCGACUCAUAGAAGGGGAGGGGAAUGAAAGGCUCUCAGUAAAGAAGGUUGUUCCCAAGUUCUGAUGGUCAUAAUUAGCAUUGCUAUAAACAUCUCUAAUCAGGAAUUGGUUUAGAACACUUGUUCUGUAUUCAGAAUAUGAAGGUUAAAAUGAACUGUCCAGGCAAAAAUCUGAACAUGGAGUUUAGAACAGCUUUAUUCAUAAGUGCCAAAACAUGGAAGCAAACAAGAUGUCCUUCAGUAGGUGAAUGGAUAAACUGCGGUAAUCCAUACAACAGAAAAUUGUUUAAUGCUAAAAAGAAAUGAGCUAUUAAGCCAUGAAAAGAUGGGGGAGAGGCUUUAAUGUAUAUCACUAAUUAAAUGAAGCCAUUCUGAAAAUGUUAUAUACUGUUUGAUUCCAACUAUAUGACAGUCUGGAAAAGGCAAAUCUAUGGAGAUAGUAAAAAGAUCAGUGGAUGCCAGGGGUUGGGAGAAGGGAGGGAUGAAUAGAGCUCAGAGGAUGUCAGGGCAGUGAAACUCUUCUGCAUGAUACUAUAAUGGUGAAAACAUGUUAUUAGACAUUUGUCCAAGCCCAUGGAAUAUGUAACAAUGAGAGUGAACCCUAGUGUAAAUUACAGACUUUGAAUGACAACGAUGUGUCAAUGUAGGUUCAUCCAUAACCAUGGAAGUACCACUCUGGUUGGGGAGGGGGUGCAUGUGUGGGGGCAGGGGUUAUCUGAGAUCUCUCUACUUUCUGCUCAGUGUUGCUGAGAACCUAAAACUGUUCUAAAAAAUAAAGUCUAUUUUUAAAAAUGCUUUGAAAAUGACAGCGUACUUUAAAUUAUAAAAUAUUAUGAAUAGUAUAAGCAUGUGUAGGAAGUUUUUGUUAACAUCUUUCUCUACCUGUCCACGUCCCCCAUGCCCUUGACCUCAUCUUCCUGCCUGUUACCUCCUCCUUUUCUUAGCAAGUGUAAAUAGCUUGGCCCCCACUUGGCCUCUCUUCCUCUGUUCCACUGUCCUUCUCUUGAACCUUC